UUGUAUUGCUUCUCAAGGAGUGUAAUGUCCUCUCAUGACUUCAGAUUGAUGUGACCACAGCCGAUAGCAUAUGUAGACAGGCGGACAAACAAGGUCAGACAGGGGUGUGACUAUCCUGCUGACUGUAACAGACACGAGCAAAUUCAGGAUAGUGGAUUUGUGGUUUUUCGUUACUCGCUGAGCGCCGUGGCCUGUGAAGGGAAAACCUGUAGUACAGCUCCGCGAGGCAAGCCUCAGGGAGGAAACAAGAAAGGAAUGCUGCUUUUACUGGAAAUAUCAAUAAAGAAAACAACACGUUUUUAGAUUAUGGAUAUGUUAAGUUACCUCUUAUUUUACAUUUGACUUUACUAAGGUUAAACAUAUUAGUAUGUUGCUUACCAAUUAUGCCAUUUGGGGAAAAUAUUUUCAGGUAUUUUUUCUGCAGGAUGUAAUGAGAAAUAACUAACGUUUCCAACCUUUGUUGCCCAUACAUGUGUUCUCUGUUACAGCUUAGAGUUGUUUCAGUUGCUUUUCUAACUGUAGGAGAUUCGUUUUUAAUAAAGACCUCUCCAAAUCCUACUGAAAUGUCAUGAAUAAUUCAGUCAAUUAAAUUAUCCCUCUCCUUAUUUUUUUAUAUAUU